rnacentral:rRNA from 1 species
UACGAAGGGGGCUAGCGUUGCUCGGAAUCACUGGGCGUAAAGGGCGUGUAGGCGGGACGGUAAGUCGGGCGUGAAAUCCCUAGGCUCAACCUAGGAACUGCACUCGAAACUACCAUUCUUGAGUGUCGGAGAGGAAAGCGGAAUUCCUGGUGUAGAGGUGAAAUUCGUAGAUAUCAGGAGGAACACCAGUGGCGAGGGCGGCUUUCUGGACGAUAACUGACGCUGAGACGCGAAAGCGUGCGGAGCAAACAGG